rnacentral:lncRNA from 1 species
UUAGUCAUCUUUAUUGAAUCUUUGGCGCUAAUUAUUAAUUCCAAAAUUCGUAAUCAAUUCAUUCAAAGUAUACAAACACAAUGUUCACAGAUCUCAAUUGCGACUCGACCCAACUAGCCUUACAUCAUUUCGAGCCCACAGAUCUCGAUUACGAUUCCGCUCAACUAGUCUUACGUCAUUUCGAACGUGACUCAGACCAGCCUAACCUCUUGUCACAAGACAGGAUAUCGAUCUAUUUACGCUAACAAUCUCUCCUCCAGUAUCUGCAAAAAUUCGUAAUAUGCGCGAAUCAAAUUCGUUACCAAUGACUCUGAUACCAUUUAUUGUCGUUGGCGCUAACCAUCAAUCCCAAAAGUUCAAACUGUUAAAAAUAUGAAAUCAAUUUAUUGAAAUUAUACAGGCUAAGUUCUCAUGGGUCUUGACUGUGACUCGGCCUAACCAGCCUCACAUCACUUUGAACAUGAUUCGAUCUAACCCAGCCUCACGCCAUUUCGAACGUGAUUCGGUCCAACCUGAUCUCCCGCCACAAGGCAGGAUUCAUUUAAGCCAACAAUCAUGUGAGCUAUU